rnacentral:rRNA from 1 species
UCGCUUUGGGAGGAGCUCGCUUACUAUCAGCUUGUUGGUAGGGUAAUGGCCUACCAAGGCUAUGACGGUUAGGGGGUGUGAGAGCAUGACCCCCAGCAUUGGCACUGAAACACUGGCCAAACACCUACGGGUGGCUGCAGUCGAGAAUCUUCCACAAUGGGGGAAACCCUGAUGGAGCGAUGCUGCGUGCGGGAUGAAGGCCUUCGGGUUGUAAACCGCUUUUGUAGGGGACGAAAUUUUUGACGGUACCCUUUCGAAUAAGAGGUUGCUAACUCUGUGCCAGCAGCAGCGGUAAUACAGAGACCUCAAGCGUUAUCCGGAUUUACUGGGCGUAAAGCGUCUGUAGGGGGUUUAUUAAGUUCCAAGUAAAAUUUCAAGGCUCAACUUUGAAUUCGCUUGGAAAACUAAUAAACUGGAGUCCAGCAGAGGUGCAUGGAACUUGUGGUGUAGGAGUGAAAUCCGUUGAUAUCACAAGGAACACCAAAGGCGAAGGCAUUGCACUGGGCUAGCACUGACCCUGAGAGACGAAAGCGUGGGGAGCAAAACGGAUUAGAUACCCGUGUAGUCCACGCCCUAAACGAUGAAUGCUAAAUGUUCGGGGAUUCGACCCCCUGGGUGUUACAGCUAACGCGUUAAGCAUUCCGCCUGGGAAGUACGGCCGCAAGGCUAAAACUCAAAGGAAUAGACGGGGAUCCGCACAAGCGGUGGAGCGUCUGGUUUAAUUCGACAGUAAGCGUGGUACCUCACCAGGGUUUGACAUCCCUUGACAGCCUUGGAAACAAGGUUUCCUUCGGGCAAGGUGACAGGUGCUGCAUGGUCGUCGUCAGUUCGUGCCGUGAGGUGUUCCGUUAAGUCGGGAAACGAACGAAACCCCUAUUGCAUGUUACAAUUUCUCAUGCAAGACUGCCCGGAUAUACUGGGAGGAAGGUGGGGAUGACGUCAGAUCUGCAUGGUCCUUAUACCCUGGGCGACACAGGCGCUACAAUGGCAGAGACAAAGGGUUGCAAAACCGCAAGGUGAAGCUAAUCCCAAAAACUUUGUCUAAGUUCGGAUUGAAGGCUGCAAUUCGCCUUCAUGAAGCUGGAAUCGCUAGUAAUCGUGAAUCAGCCACGUCACGGUGAAUAUGUUCCCGGAUCUUGUACUCACCGCCCGUCACACCAAGAGAGUUGGUAGCUCCCNGAAGCGUCCCGUUUUAGCGGGGCAUCACGGAGAGAUCAGCGAU